rnacentral:tRNA from 1 species
GGUCGGAUGGUGUAAAGGUGAUCACAUCGGAUUUUGAUUCCGAGGAUCUGGGUUCGAGUCCCAGUUCGACCA